GACGAACGCUGGCGGCGUGCUUAACACAUGCAAGUCGAGCGGAAAGGCCCUUCGGGGUACUCGAGCGGCGAACGGGUGAGUAACACGUGAGUAAUCUGCCCUUGGCUUUGGGAUAACUACCGGAAACGGUGGCUAAUACCGGAUACGACAACCGUCUGCAUGGGCUGGUUGUGGAAAGUUUUUUCGGCCAGGGAUGUGCUCGCGGCCUAUCAGCUUGUUGGUGGGGUAAUGGCCUACCAAGGCUUCGACGGGUAGCCGGCCUGAGAGGGUGACCGGCCACACUGGGACUGAGACACGGCCCAGACUCCUACGGGAGGCAGCAGUGGGGAAUAUUGGACAAUGGGCGGAAGCCUGAUCCAGCAACGCCGCGUGAGGGAUGACGGCCUUCGGGUCGUAAACCUCUUUCAGUACCGACGAAGCGCCGAUGAUGGUGGUGACGGUAGGUACAGAAGAAGCACCGGCCAACUACGUG
rnacentral:rRNA from 1 species